AGUGAACGCUGGCGGCGUGCUUAACACAUGCAAGUCGAACGAGAACGGAUUAUAGCUUGCUAUAAUUGUCAGCUAAGUGGCGCACGGGUGAGUAAUAUAUAGGUAAUAUGCCUCUUACUAAGGGAUAACAGAUGGAAGCGUCUGCUAAUACCUUAUAUGCCUUUAAUACUGAAGUAUGCAAGGGAAAGAUUUAUUGGUAAGAGAUUGGCCUGUACGGUAUCAGUUAGUUGGUGAGGUAAUGGCUCACCAAGACGAUGACACCUAACUGGUUUGAGAGGAUGAUCAGUCACACUGGAACUGAGACACGGUCCAGACUCCUACGGGAGGCAGCAGUGGGGAAUAUUGCACAAUGGACGAAAGUCUGAUGCAGCAACGCCGCGUGGAGGAUGACACAUUUCGGUGCGUAAACUCCUUUUAUAGGUCAAGAUAAUGACGGUAGCCUAUGAAUAAGCGCCGGCUAACUCCGUGCCAGCAGCCGCGGUAAUACGGAGGGCGCAAGCGUUACUCGGAAUCACUGGGCGUAAAGAGCGUGUAGGCGGAUUAAUAAGUCAGAAGUGAAAUCCAAUAGCUUAACUAUUGAACUGCUUUUGAAACUGUUGAUCUAGAGUGUGGGAGAGGUAGAUGGAAUUUCUGGUGUAGGGGUAAAAUCCGUAGAUAUCAGAAGGAAUACCGAUUGCGAAGGCGAUCUACUGGAACAUAACUGACGCUGAGACGCGAAAGCGUGGGGAGCAAACA
rnacentral:rRNA from 1 species